rnacentral:lncRNA from 1 species
AACCAGGAGAGAAAGAGGGAAAAGAAAUAAGAACCCUAGCUGAAACAUUUGGGGAAAAUCAAGAGAAAUCAAGAAAUCAAGCAUUAAAAAGGUAAAUUUCAUUGAUUUUCCUUGUGAUUUUCACUACCCAUGCAUUUUUUCUCAUUUCCAUGCAAAAUUAGAAAGUGGGUAUGGACACCCAUGCUGGCCAAACCUCCAUGGAUGAGUUUUGAGUUUGAGUUUUGGUUGAUUUUAAUUGAAUUAAGUGAUUUUUGUUAGGUUAUAUUGAAAUAUAGCAAAAAUAAGCUAGAGAAAUAAUUUUCUCCCAUUGAAACCCAUUAUGCCGAAUUUUCUAGGGGAAUAUUGGCUGCUGAUCUUGAUGUUUAUUUGAGGAAUUAUGAUGAAUAAUGAUGAAUUAUGAGCCUAGAAAACUAAUGGGAAUUUUUAGAGCAAAAAUAUAAAUUUUUACCCACUAGGGGUAUUUUUAUAAUUUGCUAUCGGGACUGAUAAUUUGCACCACACUGAGGGACAUUAAGUCAAUUUGGGUGUAAUUGAGGUAUAAAAACUGAAAAAAAUUAAUUUGGAGUUUAAACAGACGCGUAUAUCGAUUUAUCAGGUAAAAGAUCGAAAUAGGCUAACACCGUGUUUAGGCAAAAUUUAGACAUUUUGCUCUUCAUAUCAUGCAUUAGUAGUAUAAAUUAGUUUAUUUUGGUUUAGUACCAAAGUAGUAAACCUCUUAAUUGUGCAAUUUGUCAAGGUGGCGAAUCCUCUAGCAAGGGCAAAGAAAUCGCACCCGAUGAGUAAUAGUUGGAGUACCCGAAUUUAGUUUUCAAAAACUGUGAGUAAACUUAUUAUCGUCUUAAUUAUCUAGAGUAGUUUUAUACAAUUGUGUGAUUUUAUAGAAAAUGGGUUUAAAUGGUAUAUUACUGUGUUUUAGGAGAAAUUGUGAUUUUAUAAAAUGAUUUUAUAGAUUUUCUGGAAAAUUGAAUACUAGUUUUGAAAAUAGAAUGAUUGAAAACUACCCGCUUGUGUUAUAAAUUGUGUUUUAAAUUAUAUGGCUUAUAGCAAUAUGUGAGCAUGAAUGGCAAAGUCUGUAUUUGUAUCAAAAUUAUAUAUACUAUGUAUUCAGCCUUGAGAGGCUAGAUUUCGAUAAAUUGUCAUGUCAUUCAUAUAAGGAUUUUAUAAAUCAAGUGGUAGAUAAAAUAAAGAUUAGCUACUGCAGUGGCGGGGUUCCGUGGACCAGCCUAUUAGAGGGGCAUGAUAAACUCCUUUAUAUUCUCACCUCGAUCGUAAAGGCGCGUAGGGUAUCUCCUGAGAUGGGCUUUUUGAGUGCACUUCACGUGGACCACCACGUGAGAGUGAGACUCAGCCAACACCAAGGCAUGGCUAGAAUUUUUGAUGUAAAGACAUUUAACAGCCUUGGUGGACUCGGUCAGAUGCCUAGGUCAAGGCAUCCCCGGGAAUGAUUUUGGCAGGAGCCAAGUUUUGUGAGAUAUAUAAGCCAUGUUGAUUAAUUGAGUAAACUGAAUAUUCAUGUUAUGAAACAUAUAUUGGAAAAGAAUAUUUUAAUUUGUUUCCAUUUACUCACCUUUAGAUGGUUUAGAUGGUAUCUGUUUACUCACUGGGAUUAUGUAAUCAUAAUCUCACCCCUUUUCCUAUCCAUUUUGCAGGCUCAGGAUAGUUUGUUGAUAGUUGAUUAAGACGAGAAUUAAUCUUGGAGUUGCAUCGUAGAAAGUAAGAGUUCGUAGCCCUACACCUUCUUAGUCAGUUAGGAGCCCACGUGUUAUUGUAAAAGAAAUUUUAUACUUCAGUUAUCUGCUUUAAAGUACAUAUGAAUAUAUUUAGCUUUUACACUACAGAAAUAAAUUACGAAUUUCUCUAUAAAUAUUAUUAUAUUUUUAUUUAGAAAAUAGAAUAUUUUAUUAAAUAUUAUUAUUUUAUUCAAACAAUUAUAAUUUCAUUUCAAAUAAUUAUUUUAGACAUCUAAAUUUACUUUUAAUUAUGAAAUAUGUGUUUUUCGCCCACACACUAUGUUUUUGGUGGGUUUUGGUAUUUUCGAAGAAAAAUGACGAAAAUGUCCCUGUGAGCCAGAAAAUAAUAUUUUAUUGUUUUGAUUUGAAAACGACUAUUGAUUUCUUGAAACGUGAGAUUUAAUAAUUGUCGCUCACCGGGGAGAUACAGAAGCUGAUACGAGAGCCUUGCGAGGUUUCGAUUGGCAUUCAGGGUGAAAAAUGUCUGUCGAGGUUUUGCGACGGUUGUCACGAGCUCAAUGGGAGUUUCGAGUUGUGACAAACUACUUCAUUCUAGUCACCAAUAAAAUGUCCCAAUGAUUGGGUGACAUGGAAUGAUUCACCAUAUGUACCCCAUAUUGUGUACACAUCAGUAAACCUUUUUCAAAAUAAGUAUUCUUGAACCUUCAACAACCAACAAUUUGCUAUUCAUACACUGAGAGCAAGAACAUCUAAUCUUAUUCUCAAUCACAUAUCUUGAUUGACUGAACGCAAAUGAAAUAAAUUCAUCUACGCCAUUCAGAAAUUAUGUCCCAAGAAAUCCACUCGAAUCGACUUGAGAAUACAUCCAACUCCUAUCUCG